rnacentral:rRNA from 1 species
GACGAACGCUUGCGGCGCGCUUAACACAUGCAAGUCGAGCGACGCGGCGGCCGGGUGAGUAACACGUGAGUAACCUGCCCUCCUUUUUGGGAUACGCCUUGGAAACGGGGUCUAAUCCCGAAUAAAGGGGGAUGGGCUCGGGGCCUAUCAGCUUGUUGGUGGGGUGAUGGCCUACCAAGGCGGUGACGGGUAGCCGGCCUGAGAGGGUGACCGGCCACAGUGGGACUGAGAUACGGCCCAGACUACUACGGGAGGCAGCAGUGGAGGAUAUUGCACAAUGGGCGAAAGCCGGAUGCAGCAACGCAGCGUGCGGGAUGACGGCCUUCGGGUUGUAAACCGCUUUCAGCCAUGACGCGGUAGUGGCAGAAGAAGCACCGGCUAACUACGUGCCAGCAGCCGCGGUAAUUC